rnacentral:rRNA from 1 species
GAUGAACGCUGACGGCGUGCCUAAUACAUGCAAGUCGAGCGAACGGACGAGAAGCUUGCUUCUCUGAUGUUAGCGGCGGACGGGUGAGUAACACGUGGAUAACCUACCUAUAAGACUGGGAUAACUUCGGGAAACCGGAGCUAAUACCGGAUAAUAUUUUGAACCGCAUGGUUCAAAAGUGAAAGACGGCCUUGCUGUCACUUAUAGAUGGAUCCGCGCUGCAUUAGCUAGUUGGUAAGGUAACGGCUUACCAAGGCAACGAUGCAUAGCCGACCUGAGAGGGUGAUCGGCCACACUGGAACUGAGACACGGUCCAGACUCCUACGGGAGGCAGCAGUAGGGAAUCUUCCGCAAUGGGCGAAAGCCUGACGGAGCAACGCCGCGUGAGUGAUGAAGGUCUUCGGAUCGUAAAACUCUGUUAUUAGGGAAGAACAUAUGUGUAAGUAACUGUGCACAUCUUGACGGUACCUAAUCAGAAAGCCACGGCUAACUACGUG